UUUGUCAGUGGGCAAACGUUCAAAAUCAGCAGGGAUCAAAUACUUUUUCCCCUCACUGUAUAAAAAGACAAGAAAAAAAAAACCCUGCAUGAAACAAAGCAAAUACACUGCUAAAACAAUAUAUAAAGUGAAAAGCUACCUCUCUCUAAUUGGUGAGACACAAUCUUACACAGGAUGAAUGGAUCAGCAUCAGACACAGGACAAAGAGGUGAGUUCCUUGUCGCAUGUUCAGAAGAUCAUGGAAAACUCUAGAGACAUCUGGCUUCUUCCUCAAUUCCUGAUUGCUGCUUUUAUAGCGCUCUAAAUUAGUGACUGCCCAGUGAGGUCUAUCAAUCACUUGACCAAUAGCCACAGCUAAACCUGUAACCUGUAGGAGGUGACUAGUGUCUUAAGUAAAGGCGAAUCCAAGAUUAUGCCAUGCUUUGGAAGGAAAUAACUACAAAAACAAGUCUAUUCCAUCUAAAAGUACAUGGCUCAUUAGAUGUGCAGCAGCCAUCUUAACUGAUUCAAUAUCACCUUACUCCAUGGACCACCUAGGGGUAAGAGAUAUUACUGCACAUGAAUGAGAACAUUUAAAAUGUGUUAUUUGUUUCUAACCAGUACCCUAGGGAACUGGUCUACAGGAGUACUCUACAGUGGAAGGUGGCUCCCACAAUAAUGUCUGGAUUUUACAAAUCCUCCUGGCUGACGUUAG